CCAAUUUGAAGAAUAAUACAAGAUCGCAAAAUACCACGAACAAGAUUAAAGUAAAAGAUAGAGGAAUGACAAAUUUUAUUAAUAUAGAGAGAAUUACAACUGGACAGCAAUGAUGCUUCAAUAAAACUGACAAAUGAACCUUGUAUUUAUAAUACACUUGGUCUAGCCCUAAAAAAGUCCCAAAAAAGGUAGAAAUAUAUAAUUCAAUUAGACUCUUAUUUAAGUCACGCUUCUAACAAUCUCCACCUUGACUCAAAUACUAGUGCAACGAACAAAACUCCUAGAUUUCAAAUUCGUCUGCAACAAAAUGAACUGACCAAUCUCUUCCACGCAAUAACCAAACUCUCCAUCACCAAACCAUCGUCCUCUGCACAACGUCCACAAGCAACACCCGAACCCAAAACUUGGCUUCUCGAAAUUCCACGAAGGAAUUACUGUUGACCAAAUAGGGUCGAAACACACUCUUUAGCAGAAACCAUACCACAUGCUGGAUCAGAAGGUCCCUUGGCAAUAUUGUCACCUUCAAUGAUUUCUAAAGCAUUACAGACAUCUCCAAAACUGCACCUACGCUCCAUAGUCCAUUGGCAUUACAUGAACACAGUGUACCCGCUAAAAUUGGUGGUAAAGCGGAAUCACCAACACUCCCUUGAGCAAAGUUCUUAACUAACCCAGAGCCAAACCCGAGAGGUACUGUACCAAAUUGAAUGUCCACCACGGUACUGAACCUGUCCAAAUGUCUCUGAACUAGUUCUGCACUCCCCUACAAGAUGUACAAGUGGGAUUUCCUCCUUCCCUCCAGUACAACCCGGACACCCCUUCGAACCUUCAAGACUCCACCUCCACCAGAAAAUUUGUACCCUUUUUCAUCUAAGGUACUCAGUGAUAUGAGAUUCUUUGUCAAGUCUGGAACAUGGCGAACCUGAUCAAGUAUCCUCACUGUUCCAUCCUGUAGCCUCAAUCUAACCCAAUCGAUUCCUGCAACCCGAUAAGAUUGGUUGUUUCCCAUGACAAUUCCACCUUACUUCACCAUUUCAUAUGUUUGAAACAAAGCCCUAUUGGGACACAUAUGAUACGAACAAGCAGAAUCCAGAAUCUACUCCUCAGGUUUGGAUUCCCCGUUAGAUACAGCCAACAUCACAUCUCUAUCAUCACAAAAAUUUUCAGCAAUAUUAGUCUCGUUCGAAUUACCUGAUUGCCACGCAUGAUUUGCAUGUAAAUCACCUUUACCCUGCAACUUGUCGCAAUCUUUCUUGAUGUGUCCUUUCCUCUUGCAGUAAUAACAAUACACAUUGUUGUACCUUACUUUCGAUCUACCCUUCCGUCGAUCACUAUGAGUAACAAGAGCAUCCCCACUCCUAGAUGUAGGAUCUCCAACCAACAACUCCAUCUUCUCCUUUGAGAACAGGGCGUCGUAUACCUCCUCAAUGGAUAACGUGUCACGACUAUACAGAAUAGUAUCACAUAAUGACGAAAAAGAAUUAGGUAGCUAACACAACAAAACCAAGGCUAGAUCCUCUUCAUCAUUUUACUCCAACGUCUCCAAAUCUGCAACAAUCUCCUUGAACACAGCAAGGUGGUCCUGCAGUGACCCUCCUUCCGCCAUGCAAUGAGAAUACAACCUCUGCUUUAGAGUCAGCUUGCUCGUCAAACUCUUUGUCAUGCACAACUGCUCCAGCUUGAACCACAAAGUAGUCGCUGUCUUCUCCUUCAAAAUAUCUUGCAGCAAAUUGUUGGAUAAAUAAAAUUGGAUUUGCGCUAAAGCCUUUCGAUCUUUCCGUUGUUUCUCCUCCAUAGACAAGCUUGCUGGUAUCCUAUCAAAACCUAGCAAAGCAUCAUCAAGAUCCAUCUGUGUUAACACAGCUCUCACCUUUACUUGCCACAGCGAAAAUCUUGUAUUGCGAUCCAAUAGCGGAAUUUCAUACUUCAACAAAUUCAUCCUUGAAAAAUCUCAACCAAAUCACAAAGAACCUGCAACCUGCAACACCCAAAACUGAAAACUUCUGAACCUGCAAGGGGUAAAAUUGUGGACAGUCCAGAACCACAAUUUUGCCCAAAACUAAAAUUGGACACCACCACAAGGUCCGUCUCGUCGUCUUGAGAAAACUGCCUAAAGACACUGUCGCCGUAAAGCCCCUCACGAGCCACCACGCGCCUUGCCGGAGUUCCACCCGCCAGCUACCGUCCGGUCACGCGCCGGCGAACUAUGACCCUUUCUGGACCGUCUCUGCCUGCUGAGUCCACUGGUGGUGUUCGUUUCUCCAAAAGGUAAGUAGUUUCACCGAAAAAUGCACAAACAAAUCCAGUAGAAAAUCGAAAAAACUGAACAGAUUCGUUUUCUGAUUUUCUGGUAAUUUUUAGACCAAUUUUCGAUCAGUUUCAGGCCAAAAAUCCACCAAUAACCCCGCUCUGAUACCACUUGUUGGGACCGGUGAAAACGAAAAGCAAGAAUUGAGAUUUAAUGGACACCAAUUUGAAGUAUAAUACAAGAUCGCAAAAUACCACGACCAAAAUUAAAGUAAAAGAUGAAUUAAGCAGAGCAACGACGAAUUUUAUUAAUAUGGAGAGAAUUACAACUGGAUAGCAAUGCUGCUUCAAUAAAACUGACAGAGUUGCCUUGUAUUUAUAGUACAAUUGGUCUAGCCCUAAAAAAGUCCCAAAAAAGGUAGAAAUAUAUAAUUCAAUUAGACUCCUAUUUGAGUCACACUUCUAACACACCCCUUGUUUGCCAACAUUAUAAUCAUAGUAGAAAGCGUAAUUCUAUUCAAAUUCACCAACCCAUUUCUCAACAUCAACUUAUGAGCCUCCAAAACCUUAUCACUCAAUCCAGAAUUCAAGUAACCCGAAAUAAUCAAGUUCCCAAUCUUUCUUUGGAAUAAAAAUAAAUACCUCGCAUAUUUAUAAAAUCUUCAGAUUUCGAGUAAGCAGAGAGAAUGGUGUUCCAGGAAAAGAGGUUUGGUUUGGGUAUUUGAUCGAACAUAUGGGGUGCAUACUUCAUCUGUUCAACUUAUAAUACCCAUUUAUGAGGUUGUUCAGCAACAAGUUUCUGGGUUUGUUACGGUUUCGAUUUUGCUUGCCUGUAUCUUUUUUUUGCUUGGUAUAGAUAACGAGUUUCGCAGCAUGUUUCAGUAGUAAACAAUAGUGGUUGUAAACGUGAGUCAUUGUGCUUGUCGAAAGGGAGUUUCUGUGGGAGAGUAAGUGGAUCAUAUAUUACGUUAGCUUCAUUAAAGCUGAGGUUGUAGCAAGGGCAAUGAAGGCAGCUGCGGAGGAAAUUGUAUCAACGAGGAUUCAACAGUAUCUUACCCAGGGCCGGGAAUUUUAGGUGGCUU
rnacentral:lncRNA from 1 species